rnacentral:lncRNA from 1 species
GACGAGGAAAGUAAAUCAGUACGUCAACGACUGGGCACCUCCAAACGACGUCAACGUCGGACAAGUCAAAAAGCCAGAGAAGUUCGGCGGGCGACAAUUUAAUACAGUACGCGGAUGAGGUAACGCAAAAUCUCCUUUUCAUUCUAUUUGCGAAAUAUACACCAUGAAGCCCAGAAGGCCAAAGGAAGAAAAGCAAAAUGACAAAAGCAAGACAAAACAACAAAAGAGAAAAUGUACGCAUGGAA